rnacentral:lncRNA from 1 species
GAAAUAGUCAUUCUUCCAAAUAAAUCUGAGGGAAUGCUUUUCUACCUGUUAGAACCUUGAUCUUGAAGUAUGCUGAGGUUUGCAUUUCAGUCUGAGUACUUUAAUUGUUUUGGCUCAGCACCAUGCUGAAUUGCAACCGUGGCCUUUAACUGCUAAGAGGAGAUCACUCUAGCAAACAGAACAACAUAUCCAUAGCAACAGCAUUAGUCCUGAGUUUUUAAAACACAAAAUGGUGUCUGGUUUAUUAGAACAUAUCAUCUUAAUUUUGUACAAUAGUGAGAGAAAAAAAGCAGGGAGAGGUGAACAAGGCCAAAAGAACGUAAACCAAAGAAGUAAACUCUGCAAAUCUUGAUGAAUACAACUCCACUGGUAAGUGACAAUAUAGGUGAAACAUUUCUCUUUUAAACUUUUUUUCCAUUAGUUUU